rnacentral:rRNA from 1 species
GACGAACGCUGGCGGCGUGCUUAACACAUGCAAGUCGAACGAAGUGGCGAACGGGUGAGUAAUACGUGAGUAACCUGCCCUCCUUUUUGGGAUAAGCCUUGGAAACGGGGUCUAAUACCGAAUAAAGGGGGAUGGGCUCGCGGCCUAUCAGCUUGUUGGUGGGGUGAUGGCCUACCAAGGCGGUGACGGGUAGCCGGCCUGAGAGGGUUACCGGCGACAUGAGGACUGAGAUACGGCCCAGACUCCUACGGGAGGCAGCGGUGGGGGAUAUUGCACAAUGGGCGAAAGUCUGAGUCAGCAGCGCCGCGUUCGGGAGGACGGCCUUCGGGUUGUAAACCGCUUUCAGCCAGUACGCGGUAGUGGCAGAAGAAGCACCGGCUAACUACGUGCCAGCAGCCGCGGUAAUUC